rnacentral:lncRNA from 1 species
CGAGCUCGACCCACCAGUCUCCCCUCUACUGCACCGCCCACCCCGAGACAUCGGUGCCUUCCAGCCAAACCCUAGCCACAUGCUGCAGGGGGCGGAGAGCCAGAGACAGGGACGCACCUCCCCGAAGUAACUGGCAACGGGACCAACGAGGAACCACACGUCGAUGGUUUUUUCUGUUCCUAGCUGAACCUUGGUGAUACUUGUAGCAUUUUCUGAAUAUUUCUGAACAUAGCUGAACCUGGAUGAUAUUUUUAGCAUCGUCUUGCAUAUUUCUGAAUAUUUCUUAACCUAGCUGAUUAUUUCUGAUUUUUUUUUUCAGUUCAUAGCUGAACCUAGCUGAAUUACGAACCAACUUGUAGAUCUGUACUUUUCAAUCUAGCUGAACCUAGCUAAACAUGUAACCAACUUGUAGCAUUAUCUGUACUUAGUUCUGAAUCUAGCUGAACCUAGCAUGCGUAAUUCUGAAUCUAGUUAACCUUUCUGACCAUUGCAUUCUUGUGCAGAGGACUUUAUAUGUUGAUGGGAGAAUGGACAAACUCUCGGCCCACUAUGGAUGCCUCACCCACCAUGAGGCCAGCACCUGCUGCCAAGAAGAUUUGUCACUAGUGCAAGGAAGCUAACACCUAAGAAGCUGAAGACCCACUGAAGAUUUGAAAAUUGUAGAAUUUGAACUUGACUAGCGAUGUAUUUGUGGAGGACAAACAUAAGGAUAAUUUCUACUAAGGGCUGAGACUGAGAGCCUAUAUAUCACUGAGAUGGAGAGAGGAAGAAAAAGCACGUACUGUUCAUUAAUUGAAAUUUUCUUUGCGUAGCGCCGUUGUGUUUCAAAUAGAAAAGCACUGGUAUAUGUUAAAAUGUUGUUUUUCUUAGGGAAAGCUCUAUCUGGUCAACCUGGCGAAGCAUUUAGGCAUAUGGUCCCCAGGGGAAGGAGAAAAAUUCGUAAGUAAACAACAAUGCAAC